GAUGAACGCUGGCGGCGUGCCUAAUACAUGCAAGUCGAGCGAACAGACGAGGAGCUUGCUCCUCUGGCGUUAGCGGCGGACGGGUGAGUAACACGUGGAUAACCUACCUAUAAGACUGGGAUAACUUCGGGAAACCGGAGCUAAUACCGGAUAAUAUAUUGAACCGCAUGGUUCAAUAGUGAAAGACGGUUUUGCUGUCACUAAUAGAUGGAUCCGCGCCGCAUUAGCUAGUUGGUAAGGUAACGGCUUACCAAGGCAACGAUGCGUAGCCGACCUGAGAGGGUGAUCGGCCACACUGGAACUGAGACACGGUCCAGACUCCUACGGGAGGCAGCAGUAGGGAAUCUUCCGCAAUGGGCGAAAGCCUGACGGAGCAACGCCGCGUGAGUGAUGAAGGUCUUCGGAUCGUAAAACUCUGUUAUUAGGGAAGAACAAAUGUGUAAGUAACUAUGCACGUCUUGACGGUACCUAAUCAGAAAGCCACGGCUAACUACGUG
rnacentral:rRNA from 1 species